rnacentral:rRNA from 1 species
UACGUAGGGAGCAAGCGUUAUCCGGAUUUAUUGGGCGUAAAGCGUUCGUAGGCGGUUUGUUAAGUCUAAAAUUAAAGCCUGGGGCUCAACCUCAGUUCGUUUUAGAAACUGGCAGACUUGAGUGUGGUAGAGGCAAGUGGAAUUUCUAGUGUAGCGGUUAAAUGCGUAGAUAUUAGAAGGAACACCAGUGGCGAAGGCGGCUUGCUGGGCCAUUACUGACGCUGAGGAACGAAAGCGUGGGGAGCAAAUAGG